rnacentral:rRNA from 1 species
AUUGAACGCUGGCGGCAGGCUUAACACAUGCAAGUCGAGCGGAGAUGAGGUGCUUGCACCUUAUCUUAGCGGCGGACGGGUGAGUAAUGCUUAGGAAUCUGCCUAUUAGUGGGGGACAACAUUCCGAAAGGGAUGCUAAUACCGCAUACGUCCUACGGGAGAAAGCAGGGGAUCUUCGGACCUUGCGCUAAUAGAUGAGCCUAAGUCGGAUUAGCUAGUUGGUGGGGUAAAGGCCUACCAAGGCGACGAUCUGUAGCGGGUCUGAGAGGAUGAUCCGCCACACUGGGAAUGGGACACGGCCCAGACUCCUACGGGAGGCAGCAGUGGGGAAUAUUGGACAAUGGGGGGAACCCUGAUCCAGCCAUGCCGCGUGUGUGAAGAAGGCCUUAUGGUUGUAAAGCACUUUAAGCGAGGAGGAGGCUACUGAGACUAAUACUCUUGGAUAGUGGACGUUACUCGCAGAAUAAGCACCGGCUAACUCUGUGCCAGCCGCCGCCGUAACAC